rnacentral:rRNA from 1 species
GUGAGGAAUAUUGGUCAAUGGGCGGAAGCCUGAACCAGCCAUCCCGCGUGAAGGAAGGCGGCCCUAUGGGUUGUAAACUUCUUUAGUACAUGAAGAACAGGAUCUACGCGUAGGUUUAUGACGGUAAUGUACAAAAAAGCAUCGGCUAACUCCGUGCCAGCAGCCGCGGUAAUACGGAGGAUGCGAGCGUUAUCCGGAUUCAUUGGGUUUAAAGGGUACGUAGGUGGCCCUGUAAGUCAGUGGUGAAAAUCUGCCGCUUAACGGUAGGGGUGCCAAUGAUACUGCGGGGCUUGAGUACAGUUGAGGUAGGUGGAAUGUGUAGUGUAGCGGUGAAAUGCAUAGAUAUUACACAGAACUCCGAUUGCGAAGGCAUCUUACUAAGCUGAAACUGACACUGAUGUACGAAAGCGUGGGGAUCGAACAGGAUUAGAAACCCCUGUAGUCC